rnacentral:lncRNA from 1 species
UUGGAAAUUGGCAGUUCCUGGAAGAGAUCAGCGACUGUAUGGGAGGGGAGACAGAGAGAGGAGGGAGCGGUGACAGCUGAGGGAACUGAGGAGGAUGGUUUCUCUUUCUGGCGGGCCAGGAGCCACAAACAUGAGGUGACAGGACAUUAACAAGCCAGACACGCCCUGAAACAGUCCUGAACCUGUCACAGCUUCAGCUUGGGGGAUGCAUUAACAUACCUGCUCAUGCUGGGAUGAGCUCAUUUGCAGCGAGGUGUUUGAACAGUUCUGACCUUUCUGCUGAUGGCAAGGCCACAGUUGUGGUGUACUAAAAGCAGGUCUGGUGAUGUUUGAGAUGGGAGGAUGUGCUCUGUAUCCCUCCUGUGGGUUGAUCAUUUGUUGUUGAGGAUUGUACUGUGAACUAGAUGGAGGAGCCUUUAGCAUUUAACUGAAAACCUGACCCGGCUUAGCUGUUUUUGGGGCUAGAAUCGCUCCUUUGAAGCUAUGCAUUGAGUAUGUUCUCAUGUCAAACAGCACAUGAGGCUAGGGGCUCUGGUCACUACCUUCCUAGGAAUCCUCAGCUUGUUGUGUCAUCAACCUUUUCCAUCCCUGUCCAGUUUUUUACCUUGAUUCAGCAAUUUAAGUUGCCUGAGUCCCUUUCCUUUUCCUUUUUUUUUUUUUUUUUUUUUUUUUGUGCUGGGCCUUCUGUGGAUGUAGAUUGUUCAUGCAAUUCCCUUUUUUCCUGGCAUGUGCUAAGUGUGUUUUAUUUAAAGAUAGUGCUGGGCUGCUUAGACCCCGCCAGCUUUGGCAGCAAAGCUGGAGCACUGUGCCUGGAUACAUUCCUUGUGCUCAUCAGUGCCUGUCCACUGCUCACAGUGACCCAGAGGAGGAAUGUGCUCCCUGCAUUUUGGAGCCUCUCUUGGCUCAGCACUGAGCAGCCACUUGUCAGCGUGCAGGAGCUGGUUUAAACAUUCCCAUGGCUCAAAGCCCAACCUCCAUGGACCUGCAGAGUGGGAUGGAGCUGAUCCUGGGAAGUGCUGGAGACCUGAUUACUGUGCUUCAAACACCCAGCUAGUCCUGUGGUGGGGUGUGCUGCUGCAUUUCUGUCAUAGGGCAAGAGGGAAUUCUUAAUUUAGUUAUUACCGUGUUAUCCCAAUGCUUCCAACUAAGCUGCAUCCUGAGGUGUCCUCAGAGUCUUCUGUUCAGUCUACAUCCAUCAAAUGAUGUGGGAAAAGCAGCAGGGCUAAGUUGGAUGUGAUCUUGUGUCCUUGGUGGGUGUAGCAGACUGUUCCCUGUGCCUUGCCUCUGGGGGCCUGGUGUUGCCUGGUGUUUGCAGACAGCAGUGCCUGGCUCUGUUUUCUACAGUCUUGGGCAUCUUCAGCAGCAAAACAUCUCUAGAGCUGCUCUUGUUCCCAGUUCUGGUGUGCAGAAGAGGAGAAUCCCGAGGGAAGCUGCUUCAGGGACAGGUGGAUUUCUUGGUGCCUGGGCAGCAGGGCAGGAGCCCGGGGUGUGGGAGGUGGUGAAACUGCAGUACUGAAUGUGUCACCUUGCUCUAAAGAGCCAGGACAACAAACCACCUCUGAAUGUGCUCAGCACUCCCAUUCCAGCUGGAGGAGCCCUUGGCUGAGGCUCCAGGCGUGCCAGUGCAUCCAGGCAGAGCUUGGAAGUCUCUGGGAGAAGAGAGCAGAGACUCCUGGGACUGUUCACCUCCUGGGAGAAUAAAAGCCUGGAGGUGUAUCUGAGUGGCAGGAAGGCUGUCCCCAUUAAAUACAGAACCUCAGAAGAGUCUUCUCAUCCUUGUUGCAUUAGGGAAGGCUCCCUCCCUCUCUUACAGCUGGCAUGGAGUUCCAUCCCCACAGCUCCUGCUUCCUUCCAUUCUGUGCCUCUUUGGGUAGGCUUGGAGCAAAAAGCUGCGGUUGCUGAGGUUUGGCAGUCAUGGUUUAUGGUUUCCUACAGGGAGUGCCCAGGGACAAGAGCAUUGAGGGUGUCUGGAAGGUUAAAGGCAGGACAAAUCCUGCUGUGCAGCUCUCAGGAGGUGUGGAGGCCAACCCCUGUGUGAGUGACUGCACUUGGCUCCAGGAGGCAGCCCUGCAACCACUCCUCACUGCCCCCUCUCACCUGAAGUGUGUGUGACUAGAUCCAUGCUAACACUGUCUGUACUCUUGUAUUGUGUUGCAAUUUGAUCACCAUUAAAUGAUUCCCUUAA